rnacentral:tRNA from 1 species
GGGGGUGUAGCUAAGUGGCAGAGCACUUGCCUGGCAUGUUCAAGGCCCUGGGUUUGAUCCCCCAGCACCGUCA